AUCAGUUAUCAUACGGCUGUAAUUAGCACAAGAGUUGCCUGCUACCGAAUGCUGCCCCCUUUUGCUUUGCCAGCCUUUGGUCCUACUAUUCUUAUGCAAGUGUGCCGCCACAUAUACUUCAAUGGGACAGCUCAUUGAUGCUCUGAAAUGUUCCUGCAAUAUCUAUGCUACUUAUGGGUGAACAUCAAAAAGUUCUGAGGCUCAAGAUAUGUAACCUUUGUAAAGCAUUUGGCAGCUUCUUGAGAAAGGAGUGUGCAAGUGAAGAAGCACUUAAAGUACAAUGGAUCUUGGAAUGCUCCAAUCCACAUAAGAAGUCUACUUGAGGACGUUCAAGGUAGCAUGUGACCCAUGGCUGCUACCUGGUAAG